UGGGGAAUAUUGCGCAAUGGGGGAAACCCUGACGCAGCGACGCCGCGUGAGCGAAGAAGGCUUUAGGGUCGUAAAGCUCUUUUGUAAGGGAAGAAUGUCGUAGGUGAUAAUACCACCUAUGAGAGACGGUACCUUACGAAUAAGCCCCGGCUAACUACGUGCCAGCAGCCGCGGUAAGACGUAGGGGGCGAGCGUUGUCCGGAAUUACUGGGCGUAAAGAGCGCGUAGGCGGGUAAUUAAGUCAGGUGUGAAAGACCGCAGCCUAACUGCGGGGUUGCACCUGAAACUGGUUAUUUUGAGGGCAGGAGAGGGCAGGGGAAUUCCGGGUGUGGCGGUGAAUGCGUAGAAAUCAGGAGGAACACCAGUGGCGAAGGCGACUGUCUGGACUGACCCUGACGCUGAGGUGCGAAAGCGUGGGUAGCAAACAGG
rnacentral:rRNA from 2 species